rnacentral:rRNA from 1 species
UGGGGAAUUUUGGACAAUGGGCGAAAGCCUGAUCCAGCAAUGCCGCGUGUGUGAAGAAGGCCUUCGGGUUGUAAAGCACUUUUGUCCGGAAAGAAAUCCUUGGCUCUAAUACAGUCGGGGGAUGACGGUACCGGAAGAAUAAGCACCGGCUAACUACGUGCCAGCAGCCGCGGUAAUACGUAGGGUGCAAGCGUUAAUCGGAAUUACUGGGCGUAAAGCGUGCGCAGGCGGUUUGCUAAGACCGAUGUGAAAUCCCCGGGCUCAACCUGGGAACUGCAUUGGUGACUGGCAGGCUAGAGUAUGGCAGAGGGGGGUAGAAUUCCACGUGUAGCAGUGAAAUGCGUAGAGAUGUGGAGGAAUACCGAUGGCGAAGGCAGCCCCCUGGGCCAAAUACUGACGCUCAUGCACGAAAGCGUGGGGGAGCAAAACAGGAUUAGAUACCCCUGGUAGUCCACGCCCUAAAACGAUGUCAACUAGUUGUUGGGGGAUUCAUUUUCCUUAGUAACGUAGCUAACGCGUGAAGUUGACCGCCUGGGGAGUACGGUCGCAAGAUUAAAACUCAAAUGAAUUGACGGGGUCAUAGCUGUUUCCU